CCUGUGGGUUAUUAUUUUAAAAAACUUUUUUGGAUUUACUUUUUUAGAUAACUUAAGCCAUAAAGAGUGCUUGUUACAGGCAAUGCUGUACAUGUAGAAUACUUUAUAGUUUGCAAAAUAUUUGUCCUUUUAUGAGAUGCAUUUAAAAGUACACUUGAAGAAAUCAAGGGACAGCUUGAUAAUAUAUCUUAAUUUCAGCAAGGCAGAGUAAUUUAUUGUAAUCGUGAUAGCAAGAUUUCAUAUAGGCAAUAGUACAUUUGAGUGGACUUAAACUAAUUUUGAACUUCUGUUUUGAUGUGUUUAAUAGUUAUUUGUCAACAUGUCAAGUUCCAUAAAGCUCUGUCCUGUCCAGUUUAAAUUUGUGUGUGUGUGUGUGCGUGUGCGUGUGUGCGCGCAUGCAUGCGUGCGUGCGCAUGUGAUCAGUUUAGGGGGACACGAAGUAUGGAGGGAAGCUAAAAGAGAAUUACAAUUCAGAAAGAUUUGGGGCUGAAACACAAGUAAAACCAACAAGAAACAGUUUAGGUGGGAGAAAUGUAAAUCUAGUUAGGAUUUUUAGAAAUUGCAUUUGCAAGUCCAAAAUAUGGACAGGAAUCCGUCUUGGCAUUUUUUCACGUGAGAGCCAAUGUGUUAGUUUAUUGCAGGCUUUUUAUGGGUCAAGCAUGAUUUCUCUGCCUUAAAAGGUGGGAAUGCAACCUUGGUUUAGAACACAUUAAUUACACAAAGCCGUCUUCAUUCAUUGAUUGCCAGUUCUCAUUUGCAACUGGUGUUUGAUUUUGGGUGUCUUUGUUGUUUUUAAGUGAAACAUUGCUUAGCUAGGUUCCAUUCAAAGGAGGAGGAGGUCGAGGAUGGUGAGUAGACGGUAGCCCGUGUUAGCAGCUUUCCAGGCAUCUCCCUUGCAGUGUUUUGCUGUCCUAGGGGGCAGAUCUGAAGCCAUGAGUGGAGAUGACCUCAUUGUAAGAAGAAUCAUUACAAUGCCUGGGUCUAUCCAGUAGCAGAAUGGCUUACCUAGUGGAAUGAGCAUCUCUUCCCCAAAGUUCUUAGCAAAGGUGUUGCUGAUCAUGUCUGGGACAGUGCAUCCGGAUUUCCUAGUACUUGGCAGGAGGUAAAGUAGAUAGGCUCCGAGAUCUCUUCUUACUCCGCAAUUCUGUGAUAUCAAGUAAUUCACAGUGCUGGGGGCGCUUGGAUUGUUCUGUAUUUCAAUCAAGUUUUAUCAAAAGGAAAAUAGAAAAAGUAGUGGGAAGAACUGCUCUUAUUAUUGUAACAUAUAAACUGCUUGAUCUUUAUUUGUCCUCAUCUUUCUCAGUUGCUUAUAAAUUUUAAAUGGGAAUAUUGAGUGAGGAUCGGAGACAGGACGCCUUCAUCACAUUUGGAUUUGAGAUGUGCAUCUGACAGCAGGGUGUAUUUACGGUCAGUAUUUUAAUAGGCCCUUAGAUGUCAAACUUAGUUUAGAGGUGCUUCUUUUUAUCACCUCGCAAAUGGUAUUGUAAUAAUAUAAAUAUAGUGUGUCAAGACCAUUCUUGAUGUCAGUGGACUCCAUACUUAAAUAGCAAGUUCUGUCAGUAAAAAAAAUUCUAUACGCUACUAAUGUAUUUAUAAUUUCCCUUUUGUUUUUAAGCUGAAGAGUUUCUAGCAACUUACAGGUGCAUAGAUCUAUGUAAAUUAAUAAAAGGAUAUGAAAUGUAAGAAGGGUCCAUGCUAUGUAUGAAAUGUUUUGCAAAGCAUGUGAAGAAUGUAAGAUGCAUGCCCUUGAAAAGUAGACUGGUAAGGGGCGGGUGGCAACUUUUUUUGAGUAUUUAGCACAUGUAGUUUUGAACAUGUUGCUGGGACUUAAGAGCAGUCAGGACUGAAGAGAGAUUUGCAUUAAUAUGUAUAGGGUGAUCUUUGAAACCUAGAAUAGAUGAUAUCUGUAAGGCAGUAUAUAGUCAAAAGAACAAGCAGCUGAGUAUAAAACUUUGGAAAGCCCUCACUUUUAGAGGAUGGGUAGAGAAGGAGCUAGGAACCGUAACUGAAAGAGCAGUCGAAGGGGUAGGAGGGGUACCAGGAUAUACAGGCCCGCAGAAGCGAAGAGUGAGCAAAAAAAAAAGCCGGGUAGUCAGGGCUGUGAACUACCAUUCAUUCAGUGAGUGCCGCUUUGUGCCAGCGUUUAUUAAACAUACUCUUAACAGCAGGGUUCAUCCUCCAGAUGUUCCCCUGAGGUCAAGGGAGUGUGGUUUCAGGAAACUAGAAGGGAUGGAAGCUGAGUGGCAAGGAAGGAGCAGGUGUAGACCACUGACUGGAAAAGCAAGGCAGUGUCACAUGGCAGACGUCUAUCCACGCCACCAAGGCCUUUUUCCGAGAGACCUAAAGCACUGAUGGCCGGAGAAACCUGUUUGUAGUUGACAGGAAGAAGUGCUGACAGUUUAAAAGGAACUGUGAGGGCAUUCAUUUUUUAGGCCUAAUUUAUAAUUUUAGGCUUAAUUUAUAAUUAAAAUGUUGACAUAAAAUAUUUAGAAAUGACUAAAUAGGCCAUAUUUAAAUAUAGCCUCUGAACCCAUGCUCUUGGAUGUUUCCAACCUCAGGGAUGUAUAAAAUGUACCAGCCUUCACUGGUAGCAUGAAAAUAGAGCAUACCUCGAGUUACUCAUUCGCUGUUGGUUGAACAAGGAGAUACGAACCUUGUGAUAUCCUCUCUGGCCACAGUUUAACCCCUGAGAUCCAUUUUACUAUUUUAAAUCAACAAAUGUAACAGUGGCUAUUUUCUUGAAAAAAUUCCUACAAGGAAUUUCUGAGUUAAAAAUACACACACUGGCUGUCAUUGGUUACAAGGCUGUGUGUCCGGAACAUUUGCCUGGGGAAGUGGUGGAGGAGCCAUUUGGAAGCUCUUGGUAGCGCUGUGAGGAGUUUUUAAAAGUACAUUGAAGUGCUUUUGUUCAGGUGUAAAGCCCUUUGAGGGGUGGAUGGUGUGCAGUGUGCUAGUGUGUGGUUUCCAGCUGUGAAAAGCUGGAUGUUAACUCAUGAUUGUUUUAUGUACCAGCGUUUGUAGACUGUUUGUGAAUUAGGAUGGAUUCAAGACUGUCCCUCACAAGAAUACCACUUAGUUGCAUUUCAGCAUGCUCUCUCCAGAGGGAAAGAAAGAACCCAAUUAAAGCCACCAAGUCAUGAAUCAUAUGUAUGGCCCUAGAUAUGCCUGUCUGUGUGUCAGACAUGCAAAUGUCAAAUGGCCUGUGUCUUGUAGCAGGAAGAAAAUAUUUUCGAGUCAGUGAUUAGAGGAAAUAGCACAGGCUUCUUUCUCAGCCUAUAGGUAAACCUGGGUUCAAAUCCAUCACUGCCAUUUAGAAUCUAAGUGACUUUGAAUAGUAAACUCAAGUCACAUCCCUGAAUCUCACAGUCCUCCUCUCUAAAAUGAGGAUAACCACCUGCUUUAUUGGGUAAUGAGCAUUGAGCUCUGUUCCUGUACUUGGUAGAAAUUAAAACACAAAAAUGUGUUUCUUGUUAGCUGUCCACAAGGUACCACUCCCUGGAAGAGGCACUUGUGCAAAUGCAUUGCUGGACCGGGACAUCCAGUCUGUAUACGUCCUGCUGCCUGGAAUGUGGAUGUGGUAUCUGGCAUCCUAGCUGCCCUUUCAGACCUGAGGAUAAGGGUAACACCGUAAGGAUGGUGGAGCUGUGAGCCGGAAGAAGCCUUUGUCCCUGAAGACUUCACGAGCAAAUCUACUAUAGCAGCCCCUGGCUACCUACUUCUGUGCUUUUACACAACAGAGAGAGAAACGACUAUCUUAUCUUCCUCAUCGCAGAAAAAGGAUGACUCUACCCUAUGUUGUGGAAUUAAAUGAGAUGAUACAAAUGAAAUGCCUUACCCAGUACCUGGCACAUAGUAAGUACUGAACUGACAGUCACUUCCCUCACCACCAUUCCAACUUCUGCAACACAUUUUUUUUUGGCUGUGCCGUGCAGCAUGCAGGAUCUUAGUUCCCCAACCAGGGAUCAAACCCGUGCCCCCUGAAGUGGAAGCACGGGGCCCUAACCAUUGGACCACCAGGGAAUUCCCCACAAUUUUAAUUAAAUGGGAAAAGAUUUAUCAGUAUCCUUUAGCUGUAUGUCUCCCCUACUGGAGCGCAAGCUCUGUGAGGAAAUGGGGCCAGGUCUGUAUUAUUCAUUGCUACAUCUUUUGCAUAAGGCAGGUGCUCAAUAAAUAUUUUUAGGAUAAAUGAAUAACUGCUGUAUGCACUUAUUUGAUUUUUCAUUUUCACCUUCAAUGAGCUUAAUGUUCUUGUUUCCUUUUUCACAUCGUAUAAAUCAUCGACUUCUAUUUAUUCAGUGUGCACUGUUUUCCUACUGCAAACCAGCCAACGCCUGAGGAAGAAUGGAGUCUGGGCUCCUGGACAAGCCAGGCUGCUGGGCAGUCGGCGAGGUUGCUGGCCACUCUCUCCCCUGGAGAGGAUGAUGCCCGCAGAGGCACUGGGGGAGGCACUCAUCCCACUUUCACCUGCUGACCCCUACGGAGCACACAGCUCGCUCACUUACAUUCACGGGCUCCUUUCAUUCCCAUAAUAGUCCUUGGAGGGAGAAAUUGUUUUACUGUGUCAGGCAGGGGCCCAGAAGGGGACAGAUUAGCUCACCCAAGCUGGGGAACUGAGGAAUGUUUAAUAAAGGGAUUUUAUAAAAGUUUGAGCAGGGUUUAAGGAACCCUGCAAGGAAUAGUGUAGUCCCUGGGGCUGGUGACAGCUGGAGUCCUUAUCCCUCCUGAAGGGAUGAGAGGAGCCGCCAGCGGCAGCCACCCAGGAGGGAGGGAGCUGGAAGAACAAACUCCCUGGCCUCACUCUUCUCCUGCCAGGGCUCCCCAGUGGCCAAAGGCAACCGCAACCACGUGGUCCAGAGGGGUGGGCCUUCAGGCCAUGAGCAGGGUGAGAAAAGUCAAGAAUGACUCUGGAAGAGCAAACAGGGCAAGGCCUGAUGGUUCGACAGUACCAGGAGGGGGAACCCAGGCAGUCCAGCUUUUAGCUACUGGAGUUUUCCAUGAGGAGCCAAGAGAUGGUCAUGUCUGCGUGGGAUGAAUGGGUACCGCCCAGAUGGGGAAGGAAGACAGCCCCCUCUUUAUAAACGCAUACACACCCCUAUGCUGCUCUGUGAACUGACAGGAAACCACCUGCUGACUUAACUCCAGCAGCGUGGAAAUGUUGCAGUGAAUUUCCCCCAGCACAAGGCCCCAGCAGCAGUUAAGACCCUAGACUUGGGAAUCAGACUGGCCAGGACGUGAAUCACCAGCUAUGUGAGUUUGGGCCUCAUCCGUAAAAUGGAAACUGUCAUACCAACGGGGGUGUUGUUAGGGUUACAUGCAGUGUGCGAUUUGCUUUGCAUUCAUUAAACAUUAGCUAAAAACACUAUCUUGGUAACAGCUAUGGCUUUGCACUAUCAUAGUUUUUUGACCUAAUUACUUACUCAUUCCAACUUUCAGAAUCCUUUAAGAAUGGAUAUUUUUGUAACUGAGAAGAAGGAUAAUGGUACCACAUAGAGAUUUAUAGUUUUAAACUCCUUUCCCUUAGAUUAUCACAUGGGAUUGUUACAAAAACCCAGUGAGAAAGGCUACAGAAAUAUUACUCUGCCUCUUUUAAAGAUGGAGAAACUGACAGCCAAAGAGUCUCAGUGGCUUGUUCAAGGUCACUGAGGCAAUAAACGUGAUGGCAUCCCACUGAAAGGGCAACGCCCGCUAUCUGGUCUCCUAAAGGCAGAUGGAAGCUGCAGCUCAGAGGGGGCACCUUGUGUGUGCCCAUCUCUCUGCAGCCGUCUUUUGGCUGCAUCAUUUAACAAUGUGCGUUUCCCCAAGUUAUAAUUUUGUCCUUCGUUUGCAACAGAGAAUAUCAGAGCCGCUUCCUCCCGGUAAGCCUGCGAGCAGGGGAGUGGUGAGUGCCCACGGUCAGGUUGGCUGCACCCCACUCACUGCUGUUUAGGUUUCCUCAGUACAGACCACUCCUCCGGCCUCUCCUGGCAGAGAGCACUGCGUUCACUCCCCCAGCUUCACUAGUGCUUUCUCUGUGGCCGGGGAAGAAAGCAAAGCUUGCCCCCAGGCUUCACUUACUGGAGGUGCACGCUUUACAAAGAGAAGCCCAUCUCUGAAAGCACAGCAUGCAUUAGCACCCUCUCCUUCGGAGAGAGCUAUUUUUGUCUUUCGUCUUCAGAGACUGUUCCAAAGUAGGGGAUGCAAGAAUCAGGAGGAGAACCAAAAAAACCCAAGGUCUCCAGCUCAGAAGAGAGCAAAUCACUGUCAUUUCCUCAAACAAUUGCCGCAGCAGUGACGGAGAACAAACUGUGCUGGAGUCGAGCUGCCCUUGGGUACAGGACAACAUCCAGAAAGAGACAGAUCUCUUUCUGUGGGAUUUCUCUCCGUACACUUCGCCACUUCGCGGAACAAGGAUCAGAUUUGACUGAGAUUAAGAAAGAAGAGAAGGGGCUUCCCUGGUGGCACAGUGGUUGAGAAUCCUCCUGCCAAUGCAGGGGACACGGAUUCGAGCCCUG